AUUCUUGUAUGUACCUUCCCAGCAG
rnacentral:piRNA from 1 species